rnacentral:rRNA from 1 species
AUUGAACGCUGGCGGCAAGCCUAACACAUGCAAGUCGAACGAGUGGCGGACGGGUGAGUAAUGUCUGGGAAACUGCCUGAUGGAGGGGGAUAACUACUGGAAAAGGUAGCUAAUACCGCAUACCAUCGGAUGUGCCCAGAUGGGAUUAGCUAGUAGGUGGGUGAAAGGCUCACCUAGGCGACGAGCCCUAGCUGGUCUGAGAGGAUGACCAGCCACACUGGAACGGAGACACGGUCCAGACGCCUACGGGAGGCAGCAGUGGGGAAUAUUGGAAAAUGGGCGCAAGCCUGAUGCAGCCAUGCCGCGUGUAUGAAGAAGGCCUUCGGGUUGUAAAGUACGUUCAGCGGGGAGGCGUUACCCGCAGAAGAAGCACCGGCUAACUCCGUGCCAGCAGCCGCGGUAAUAC